rnacentral:misc_RNA from 1 species
AAAAGUCGUAACAAGGUAACCGUAGGUGAACCUGCGGUUGGAUCAUUACAAAGUUUUUGUUGUUGCUCUUCGGAGCCUCAACUUCAACCCCUUGUGCAAUUGUGAAUGUUUCUGGGUGUUCUUUUGGACUCUCUAGUUCAAACCACCCACUCUUAUAAUAAACACUAUUAUUUGUCUGAAAUUAAGAAAUUAAUUAUAAACAACUUUUGACAACGGAUCUCUUGGCUCUCG